UCUUCAGGUGUUCCCCACAUGGGUGCUCCGGAUAGCGGAGGUCAGAGUAAUUAUAGAGGAAGAAGUAGGAACAAGAAGAGUGGUUUUAGACACAAAUCUCGAGGAUUCAUACCAGGGUACAGAUCCAGCAGUGGUCAUAGUUCGGGAUACAGCAGUUCUGGAUCUGGUUCAGGAUCCUCCUUUGCACCUUGUGCACAUUGUGGAAGAGUACAUUUAAGACCUUGUAUGAUGGGUUCAGGAGGAUGUUUUUAGUGUGGCCAGCACAGUCACUUUGCUAGAGAAUGUCCCAUGUUCAGUGAGCCACAGAUGGGGU
rnacentral:misc_RNA from 1 species